AGCGAACGCUGGCGGCAGGCCUAACACAUGCAAGUCGAGCGCCGUAGCAAUACGGAGCGGCAGACGGGAGAGUAACACGUGGGAACGUGCCCUUUGGUUCGGAACAACCCAGGGAAACUUGGGCUAAUACCGGAUAAGCCCUUACGGGGAAAGAUUUAUCGCCGAAGGAUCGGCCCGCGUCUGAUUAGCUUGUUGGUGGGGUAACGGCCCACCAAGGCGACGAUCAGUAGCUGGUCUGAGAGGAUGAUCAGCCUCACUGGGACUGAGACACGGCCCAGACUCCUACGGGAGGCAGCAGUGGGGAAUAUUGGACAAUGGGCGCAAGCCUGAUCCAGCCAUGCCGCGUGGGUGAUGAAGGCCCUAGGGUUGUAAAGCCCUUUCGGCGGGGAAGAUAAUGACGGUACCCGCAGAAGAAGCCCCGGCUAACUACGUGCCAGCCGCCGCCGUAAAAC
rnacentral:rRNA from 1 species